ACAUUCAGAUGUAACAGGUCGAAUUUGAAUAUGAAAGAAAAACCGUGACGGUAAUCGGAUUACUGUAACGCUAUAGAGAGGGAGAGGAAGCGGUGGCGCGGCGUGCGCUCCGGAGCAGAGUCUCCAUAAAAGUUAGUGCGCACUGUGCUGAUCUGUCAGACUGGGGAGAGGCGCGGCGCAGCGAAGACCUGAGGCUGAGUUCAGGAACGGCAGCGACCACACUCUUAUGUAGAUUAUAUAUACAUGUGUUGUAUAUGUAUCCACUGUGAGCGUGCGCGUUGCCACCGAAGGCGCAGGAACAGGACGCGGCUUGCGCCUAUUAUCCGCCCGUGUCCCACCGGCGUCUCUGUCGGGUUGUGGACUAUCCGGACGCAGGGGGAACCUCGGCGCUGCGGCGGCGGCGGCGGAGGAGGAGGAGGAGGAAGAUAUGCCCACGUUGGGACAAGAAUCAUCGUAUGUGAUUCUGAGAAUGCUGCUGUGAUUUUUUUUCACCCAGGAUAAGGAACAGCCACUGGGUUUAUUUCCCCCCGCCGCCACCUCGCCACUCCAGGACGCAAAUGCUUCCACAUCGCAGACUCACCCCUGGAUUGUAGCAGCGGCCCCAGCGAUGGUUUAGAAGGGCGUCAAGGUGCGGGAAGGGAGUGGGACAAUCACAGGAUGAGUGAGCGAUACAUGCACAUCGGAAGCAAAGGGGCUCUUCUUGUGAUGGUGCUUGUGAUCAGUGUCUCGGAGAUGACCGUACCGGCAGAAGGAGCAAGAGCAGCGCACCAGGUCCGAACAGGCACCUGCGAGGUGGUGGCGCUGCAUCGCUGCUGCAACAAGAACAAAAUCGAGGAGCGGUCGCAAACUGUGAAGUGCUCCUGCUUUCCCGGUCAGGUGGCCGGCACCACCAGGGCCGCUCCAUCGUGUGUAGAUGCUUCGAUUGUGGAGCAGAAGUGGUGGUGCCAGAUGCAUCCGUGCCUCGAUGGGGAGGAAUGCAAGGUUCUUCCUGAUCUGAAGGGCUGGAGCUGUGCCACGGGGAACAAGAUCAAAACUACCAAGAUUUCUGCGGACAAAGACCAGCUUUGGUAAUGACAGAUGCUCCAUAGCGGAGUCCAGGCUGCCUGAAGCAGAAGGGCAGGUCAGGGUUUCUUUCUUCAACGCUGCUGAGAUUUUGGGAAAAGAGAACAACAUAAACCUGGAACCUCCAGCUAUACUGACCUCUGUCGCUCCGUAUCAAAAAUUCAUUCAAACAGACUGGAAACACCCUGCAAAUUCAAACUGUAAAUCAACCGCUCUGAUGAUCUCGGAUCAUCGGAGGUCAAGAGAAUAAUGCAGAGGACCUUUGUGUAAAUAAAGACGCUUUCUUUCUUCUGGACUGCUAUUAAUAUUUGGGAAAAACUCUGAAUGCUUCUUCUUGAACUCUGUGGACAUGAACAAGAGAAGUAGAUCCUAUUUAAAGUACUGAUCAUUCAACACUUCUAUUCGAAGGAAUCCAUAUGAUUAGCCUUACCGGACAACAGGAUUCAUGCUCUGACAUUGUACUGCUUGGAGUGGAAUACAAUGGUGAACUUUGCCUAAAUGUUAAUUUGUAGAGUGUCAUGUUCUUUAUAGGGGAUUUUGCAUCACAAGGUGACCUGGGUGGACAGCAGGUCAGUAUGCUGAAUGCAUCGCAAAUCUUCAAACAAAUUGUGAUUUUUCAUUGCUGACAAACUGUUGUUUCUGAGGUUGAAAUGCAGAAAAAAUGUGGCUGGGCAGCAGAUAUUCAGGGUGAUUCUCAAAGAAAAACACAGCAACCACAUUAGUUAAUACACCAUACAUACUUUAAGGACUGCUCAAGUACACUAGUGCUGUAAAUCUGUCGACUGAAGUCCCUCAAAUUAAGCACUUUUCUUUAGUUUUUAUGCCAGUCUGCGUGCAGUGUACUUCUGAGGACAUUUCAGUCUCCAGAAGUAGCUGAGUCAGAGUCAUUGCUCCUCACUUUUGUGCUGCUCACCAGGGGUAAAAUCAUUCUCUUGAGUUCAAGAUGUCCUGUCAGCUUGGCGAAGAACUCUGUGACGGGUACAGAACACAGACCCAGGGUGAGUCUGACGGAACGACUUAAUACAAUGUAGUCUCUUGCUUUCGUUUGGUAUCUAGUAUCAGCAAAAAAAAAUUGUCACACUUUUCUGUUCUGUCGUUAGCAUUUAGGAGGGAUAACUUGGCUCAUCUAAUAUGUCGCUAUCUGCAUCUAUAUGAAAAAUAGCCCUGUUAAGGAGAAUUAAUUGUUGAGUAUUCAUGUUGAACAGCUGAUUUCCGCUGACAAAAAAUUCACAGUUGGGUACAGCCCCUAAGCCGCUAAGACCUACCAGCUGUUAACAGACAGGAAGUCGGAUCCAGUCAUGGUUUAUGGUUCCUCUGAAAAUCACUCUGUUGUUUAUGCCAGAUUUUGUGUUUUUGUAUUACAGCUCUUGAGUUCAGAUUCUAGACGACAAGAGUGUAAAUGAAAACACAAAAUCUGGCAGCCAGGUUGAUGACAAUGUUCCCAAAACCUUUUUUCAACUACUUACUCGAUGAAUGAUUUUGCUGAUCACCUUGAAGUAGGUAUCACUAACACUUCUUUUGUCUGUGUAAGUGAUGACAUCAGUAAUAAACUAUGGUUGUGUAACCAAAA